AUUGAACGCUGGCGGCAGGCCUAACACAUGCAAGUCGAACGAGUGGCGGACGGGUGAGUAAUGUCUGGGAAACUGCCUGAUGGAGGGGGAUAACUACUGGAAACGGUAGCUAAUACCGCAUACCAUCAGAUGUGCCCAGAUGGGAUUAGCUAGUUGGUGGGGUAACGGCUCACCAAGGCGACGAUCCCUAGCUGGUCUGAGAGGAUGACCAGCCCAACUGGAACUGAGACACGGGCCAGACUCCUACGGGAGGCAGCAGUGGGGAAUAUUUGACAAUGGGCGCAAGCCUGAUGCAGCCAUGCCGCGUGUAUGAAGAAGGCCUUCGGGUUGUAAAGUACUUUCAGCGGGGAGGCGGUACCCGCAGAAGAAGCAACGGCUAACUCCGUGCCAGCAGCCGCGGUAAUUC
rnacentral:rRNA from 1 species